rnacentral:tRNA from 2 species
GGGCCUAUAGCUCAGUGGUAGAGCCACCGGCUCAUAACCGGUUGGUCCUAGGUUCGAAUCCUAGUAGGCCCACCA